rnacentral:rRNA from 1 species
GAUGAACGCUAGCGGCAGGCUUAAUACAUGCAAGUCGAGGGGCAGCGCGGGUAGCAAUAGUUGGCGGCGACCGGCGCACGGGUGCGUAACACGUAUACAACCUACCUUAAACAGGGGGAUAGCCUUUCGAAAGAGAGAUUAAUACCCCGUAAUACAUUGAGUGGCAUCACUUGGUGUUGAAAGCUCCGGCGGUUUGAGAUGGGUAUGCGUCCUAUUAGCUAGUUGGUGGUGUAAUGGACCACCAAGGCGACGAUAGGUAGGGGAUCUGAGAGGACUACCCCCCACACUGGUACGGAGACACGGACCAGACUCCUACGGGAGGCAGCAGUAAGGAAUAUUGGCCAAUGGAGGCAACUCUGAACCAGCCAUGCCGCGUGCAGGAAGACGGCCCUAUGGGUUGUAAACUGCUUUUGUACCAGAGAAAACCCGAGUACGUGUACUCGGUUGAUAGUAUGGUAAGAAUAAGCAUCGGCUAACUUCGUGCCAGCAGCCGCGGUAAAAC